UCUGUUUUGAGUUAUGUUUUCAAGUGAAGAGACGCCAUACUGUUCCACUCAAAGAUGAGAUGUAAUCUCUAGCGUUUGGAGCUGUGAUUCUUCAGGACAAGAUGCCAUUCACACUUGAUACAUGAAGAUGGAUCUCAGGGAUCCCCAGUUGAAGGCAUCAGGACAUCAGAUGUUGGCCUGGACAGAUGUACCAACAGUUCACCACAAUGACCUCUGCUUUUAAAUGGAUGGCUGAUUACUACCAUGCUCUGUGAGGGUAUUACUAUAGCAAAACUGAGCACCUGUGAUAGUGGGAUUUCUAAUUUUAAAGAAUAGUCAAACAUCAGUAAAUUAUUCUUUAUUUUUUUAUUAAAAAAAUUUAAAGAAUUUUUAAAAGUUGCAAACUUCUUUUCUCCAGUUACAAAAACAGCUGUUACACCUUUUCAGAUUCUUUAUUGGAGGUGCACAAAUCCUAUUUCACAAAUUAAGAAAUUAAUAUGCUCACAUUUAAGCCGUGUUCUUCGGACACUGUAACAGUCCUGAUAUGUCACACUUUGCAGCAUCUUUUUUAUUAACAUGAAUUCAAAUUUUAACAAACAGUAAUAUAUUCAAAAUGUAAAGAUAUACAAUCUGACAGUCUGAUCUUGUCAUUAUUAAUCAAUCAGUAAUCAACACUGCACCACCCUGAAAUUACAUGCACUGUAGAAGUAUGGUUUAGGCAAGAAAUGAACAGUAGCUAAAUAUUUAUUAUAAAUGCUACUAUUUGACAUUCAAUAUUUUAGUCUAUAUUAAAGGGAUACAAGUCUCUUUUAUGUAUGAUGUUUUUUUUAUUACAAACUGUUUUUUUUUUUUUUUGUAGCUAGCACUUAAUAUUUCUUUAAUGUUACCACUUAAGAAUAGCCAAACAGUGUAGGUGAUUCACAAAAUCAUACACAAAGAAAUGUGCAUGAUUGGCCAAAUUUUUCUGAUCUACAAAAAAAUUGAGCCUAUGAGUUUCUUAAUUUGUGAUUUGCAGAAUAGGUUUAGUGCACCUGCAAUGAGAAAAAUUUAAAGGCAGUGGCUAUUUGCACUAAGUGACAAUAGCACAUUUUCUUACACUAGGUGAAAAUAGUGAUAGAUUCUAUUUACACCAUGUAAAGUAUCAGUUCUUUGCAAUAAGAAUAAAUAGAUGCUAUCUAUAGGCCUACUUAAUAUUGGCAGAUACUAUUUGCACCUCAGUAUUUUUGUACAUUAACAGGAUGCAAUAAUAUAGAGUGUAAAUGAUUGUAUUUAUUAAAAUUAAAUGGAUGCUGCCUUAUUGGUAGAAUAAAACCCUCCCUACACCUUCUCCUAACUACCCAAUAAACACCUUUAAUAUUAUUAAACACUCAUUUGCAGAUUAUUUCCUCUUUUAGAACAUUAUUUUCAUUUUUAUUGAAAAUAAAUGCGAGCUUAGCAAAAGGCAGAUUUGAACCUGCAUCAAAAGCAAGAACUCUCUACUCGCUACUGCUGUGUCACUGAAGACGUUGCCUUCUGUGCUUCUUUUUUAAAACUUUUUAAAACUUGAGUGGCCCAAAAGCUAGUGUAAAUAGCGUUUGCCAACAAGGGACGCUAUUUGCACUUUAUGUAAAUAGACACUCCGAAAUUUAAAAGGUGUAACUGUUGUGUUGUGUUUUUGAGAGAGAAAGGAACUAAGUUUUCAACUCCUAAAACAUUUUGAUGACUUCACUGAAAUAUUGUCUACACCUUCCACUGUCAGUUGCUCAGUUUCACUACAAUAAUGCCAGAUACAAUACAGCAUGUGCAUAAUUGAGUCUCUAUUCUAACAGAUGGGGGCUAUAGACUUAUAAUAAAUGAGCAAUAUUAUAAUAAAUAUGCACAUUGCUUUCUGUAUUCACAGUUUUAUUUUUACGCUGCUAGAGAACCACCUGCACUGCAAAUUUUCAGGAUUGACAUUCGCAUUUAUCCAGUUACAGGAGUGAAUCUGUUAAAUCAUUGGGGCACUUCAUGAAUUGACACUGGUUUACAUUUAGCUAAAAAUGAAAUAUUUUAAUUUUGAUAUGUCAAUAAUAAUUAUAAAAUAAAUUAAAAUAUUAAUAAACUUUGAAAUUAAAAAGGUAAUUAAAAAAUAUAUUUCAUUGUCCAUGGUAUUGAAAUUGUGGGUUACAUCUUUGUCACCCUUUUCACCCCUGAUGAGUUUACAUUCCUGUUACAAGAGCAAGGAACUUACAUUUUAAUUGCAAAGGAAAACCAAUUCAUCUGCUAUAUUCUUCUGUCCUCCAAGGGUAAGAUUUCUUUAUAAAUCAUCUACUGACCCAUAUGUCUUUAUUUUUGUUGAACACAAAAGGAGAGAGUCGUAUAGUCUCAGUCACAGAAGCAGUGAUAGUGAAUUCUGACUCAGUCUGUCAGUCUCUUGAUGUUCUGCCUUACAUCUCCUUUUGUGCUCCAAUAAAAAUAACACAUUUGGUACAAAAGAACAUGACCAGUUUUAUACUUGAGUAAAUAUUGCUUUUAAUUUGUAACUUAUUAUUUAUAAUAGGCUAUAAUUAACUUUUAUACCUCUUUGUGUGUAUUUGAGUGUAAAUGCCUUUUCUAUGUUAGUCUUGUAUAGAAGGUUUACUCUAACGAUGUAGGCUAUUUGUAACUGUAUUUUGUAAAUAAUAAAGCAAUGUUAACUGAA